rnacentral:sRNA from 1 species
CCGAAGGAUUCCAUGGCAAGAACUGCUCCAAUAUCUGUCCGUUUCAUUGUGUUAAUGGUCUGUGUGACCCAGUAACAGGAUACUGUCGCUCUUGUAGCCCUGGAUUCCAAGGACACUUCUGUGAUCAAGAAUGCAAUGUAGGCUUCUGGGGAGACAACUGUUCUCAGUUAUGUAGCAACCACUGUGAUCAGUUAAAAUGUAAUGGACAAACUGGUGAAUGUUUACAUGGUUGCCAAGAAGGAUAUCAACUGCCAAACUGUACUACAAGUUGCCAGCAAGGCUUCUUUGGGAAAAACUGUUCCAGUAAAUGCUCCUCAAACUGUACUGAAACUCAGUGUGAUCCACUGACUGGGGUCUGUUUAUCUUGCCAUCCAGGAGUACAGGGGCACUUUUGUGAUCAAGAAUGUAAUCCAGGAUUUUGGGGAGACAACUGUAAACUUAAAUGCAGCAAUCAUUGUUACCAGGUGAUAUGUGACGGGCAAACUGGUGAAUGUAAACAAGGCUGCCAGGAAGGAUACCAGCUGCCAGAUUGUACCACA